AUUGAACGCUGGCGGCAGGCCUAACACAUGCAAGUCGAGCGGAUGAAGGGAGCUUGCUCCUGGAUUCAGCGGCGGACGGGUGAGUAAUGCCUAGGAAUCUACCUGGUAGUGGGGGAUAACGUCCGGAAACGGGCGCUAAUACCGCAUACGCCCUGAGGGAGAAAGUGGGGGAUCUUCGGACCUCACGCUAUCAGAUGAGCCUAGGUCGGAUUAGCUAGUUGGUGGGGUAAAGGCCUACCAAGGCGACGAUCCGUAACUGGUCUGAGAGGAUGAUCAGUCACACUGGAACUGAGACACGGUCCAGACUCCUACGGGAGGCAGCAGUGGGGAAUAUUGGACAAUGGGCGAAAGCCUGAUCCAGCCAUGCCGCGUGUGUGAAGAAGGUCUUCGGAUUGUAAAGCACUUUAAGUUGGGAGGAAGGGCAGUAAGUUAAUACCUUGCUGUUUUGACGUUACCAACAGAAUAAGCACCGGCUAACUUCGUG
rnacentral:rRNA from 1 species